rnacentral:lncRNA from 1 species
UAUAAUGUAGUAUUUUUAAAAAAUAUAAAGACACUUCGCUGAAAGUGUCAAACACUUAAAACUAAGAGUCCCCUGCAUGACAUUCAGAAAAAAAGUCAAGUGUCGGACACUUUUGCUGAUGUCAGCAGGACACUUCAAAGUGGAGUGUCCAGCAUUGUCUUGUUGUCUCCUGUGGUCUGCCCAUGUUCAAGUGUCCAAAAGUGUCAACACUUUCCAACGGCUCAAAAAUGAAGUGUCUAGGUAGCGUAUCUCUUUUCCUCUAAACUCUCACCUUAAUAUUAUUAGACACAUAUACUACAAAUAUCUUCUUACCAAGCCUCAAAACUCAUAAAAUGUAUAUAUUGCGUCAUUCUACAAGUAUAUCCACAACUUAUUAAGGAGUCUGUCCAAAGCCGCCAAGCCCAAUAAUCUUUUUUCUUUCAUUGUCAUGGUUGAAAAUGGUUUUCCUUGUUCUUACAU